GACGAACGCUGGCGGCGUGCCUAAUACAUGCAAGUAGAACGCAGUUGCGAACGGGUGAGUAACGCGUAUGUAACUCCCUCAUAGCGGGGGAUAACUAUUGGAAACCAUAGCUAAUACCCCAUACUGUAAGAUGGACCUGCGUUGUAUUAGCUAGUUGGUGAGGUAAAGGCUCACCAAGGCGACGAUCCAUAGUCGACCUGCGAGGGGGAUCGGCCAAACUGGGACUGAGACACGGCCCCGACUCCUAAGGGAGGAAGAAGUAGGGAAUCUUCGGCAAUGGACGGAAGUCUGACCGAGCAACGCCGCGUGAGUGAAGAAGGUUUUCGGAUCGUAAAGCUCUGUUGUUAGAGAAGCGGUAACUAACGAGGAAGGGACGGCUAACUACGUGCCAGCAGCCGCGGUAAUAG
rnacentral:rRNA from 1 species